UUGAACGCUGGCGGCAGGCCUAACACAUGCAAGUCGAGCGGUUGAGAGUAGCUUGCUACUUGAUGCAGCGGCGGACGGGUGAGUAACGCGUGGGAAUCUGCCCAGUAGUGGGGGACAACAGCCGGAAACGGCUGCUAAUACCGCAUACGCCCUACGGGGGAAAGGGGGGGAUCUUCGGACCUCUCGCUAUUGGAUGAGCCCGCGUCGGAUUAGCUAGUUGGUAGGGUAAAGGCCUACCAAGGCUACGAUCCGUAACUGAUCUGAGAGGAUGAUCAGGCACACUGGAACUGAGACACGGUCCAGACUCCUACGGGAGGCAGCAGUGGGGAAUAUUGGACAAUGGGGGAAACCCUGAUCCAGCCAUGCCGCGUGUGUGAAGAAGGCCUUAGGGUUGUAAAGCACUUUCAGUGGGGAGAAAGGUUUGUCACCUAAUACGUGAUGAAAUUGAUGUUACCCACAGAAGAAGCACCGGCUAACUCCGUGCCAGCCGCCGCCGUAA
rnacentral:rRNA from 1 species